rnacentral:rRNA from 1 species
AUUGAACGCUAGCGGCAGGCCUAACACAUGCAAGUCGAGCGAGCGGCGGACGGGUGAGUAAUGUAUGGGGACUGCCAGCUAGAGGGGGCUAACUACUGGAAUCGGUAACUAAUACCGCAUACUAUCGGAUAACCCAUAUGGGAUUAGCUAGUAGGUGAGGUAAUGGCUCACCUAGGCGACGAUCCCUAGCUGGUCUGAGAGGAUGAUCAGCCACACUGGGACUGAGACACGGCCCAGACUCCUACGGAGGCAGCAGUGGGGAAUAUUGCACAAUGGGCGCAAGCCUGAUGCAGCCAUGCCGCGUGUACGAAGAAGGCCCUAGGGUUGUAAAGUACUUUCAGUAGGGAGGCGGUACCGGCAGAAGAAGCACCGGCUAACUACGUGCCAGCAGCCGCGGUAAUAC